GCUUCUUUUCCCACCGGAGCUUGCUCCACCGGGAAAAGAGGAGUGGCGAACGGGUGAGUAACACGUGGGUAACCUGCCCAUCAGAAGGGGAUAACACUUGGAAACAGGUGCUAAUACCGUAUAACAAUCGAAACCGCAUGGUUUCGUUUUGAAAGGCGCUUUACGGUGCCGCUGAUGGAUGGACCCGCGGUGCAUUAGCUAGUUGGUGAGGUAACGGCUCACCAAGGCCACGAUGCAUAGCCGACCUGAGAGGGUGAUCGGCCAC
rnacentral:rRNA from 1 species